UAAAAUUCAUGCCCCUUAUAUUCAAAUCAAAGAAAAAAUUGUUCAAGAUAUGUGCUGAAAUUUCAUAUACUUGAACGGCAAUCUAUUCUUCUUUCUCAAUUUAGUCAUGGUAUCAAGGUUCAACAUUUUACAAACAAGAAUUUGCAUAUUAUUGGUCAAAUGCUCAAGCUAAUAUGAGAAUCACUAGAGGAAACUAAUGUUUUUGUUGCAAAAUUAUUUCAGAGCAGCC
rnacentral:lncRNA from 1 species